CUACGUGCCAGCAGCCGCGGUAAUACGGAAGGUCCGGGCGUUAUCCGGAUUUAUUGGGUUUAAAGGGAGCGUAGGCUGGAGAUUAAGUGUGUUGUGAAAUGUAGACGCUCAACGUCUGACUUGCAGCGCAUACUGGUUUCCUUGAGUACGCACAACGUUGGCGGAAUUCGUCGUGUAGCGGUGAAAUGCUUAGAUAUGACGAAGAACUCCGAUUGCGAAGGCAGCUGACGGGAGCGCAACUGACGCUUAAGCUCGAAGGUGCGGGUAUCGAACAGGAUUAGAUACCCUGGUAGUCCGCACAGUAAACGAUGGAUGCCCGCUGUUGGUACCUGGUAUCAGCGGCUAAGCGAAAGCAUUAAGCAUCCCACCUGGGGAGUACGCCGGCAACGGUGAAACUCAAAGGAAUUGACGGGGGCCCGCACAAGCGGAGGAACAUGUGGUUUAAUUCGAUGAUACGCGAGGAACCUUACCCGGGCUUGAA
rnacentral:rRNA from 1 species